GAUCCUGGCUCAGAACGAACGCUGGUAGCGUGGAUUAGGCAUGCAAGUCGAACGGGAUCGGGGAGGUAGCAAUAUCGCCCCGUGAGAGUGGCGGAAGGGCGAGGAACACGUGGGCAACCUGUCCUUGAGGUGGGGAAAACCUCUGGAAACGGAGGCUAAUACCGAAUGUGGCGCCGGGAGGCAUCUUCCGGACGCUAAAGGGGGCCGAAAGGCUCUCCCUCUUCGAGGGGCUCGCGCACCAUCAGCUUGUUGGCGGGUAACGGCCCACCAAGGCUCACGGUUAGCUGGUCUGAGAGGAUGGCCAGCCGCACUGGGACUGAGAUACUGCCCAGACUCCUACGGGAGGCUGCAGUCGAGGAUCAUUCGCAAUGGGGGAAACCCUGACGAUGCGACGCUGCGUGGAGGAUGAAGGCCUUCGGGUCGUAAACUCCUGUCAUGACGGAAAAGGAGAGGGGUGCCAACACCACCCUUAUUUGAUGGUACGUCAAGAGGAAGAGACGGCUAACUCUGUGCCAGCAGCGGC
rnacentral:rRNA from 1 species